AUGAACGCUGGCGGCGUGCUUAACACAUGCAAGUCGAACGGUGAAGGCGGAGCUUGCUCUGCUGGAUCAGUGGCGAACGGGUGAGUAACACGUGAGCAAUCUGCCCCUGACUCUGGGAUAAGCGCUGGAAACGGCGUCUAAUACUGGAUACGAGCUGCGAAGGCAUCUUCAGCAGCUGGAAAGAAUUUCGGUCAGGGAUGAGCUCGCGGCCUAUCAGCUUGUUGGUGAGGUAAUGGCUCACCAAGGCGUCGACGGGUAGCCGGCCUGAGAGGGUGACCGGCCACACUGGGACUGAGACACGGCCCAGACUCCUACGGGAGGCAGCAGUGGGGAAUAUUGCACAAUGGGCGAAAGCCUGAUGCAGCAACGCCGCGUGAGGGACGACGGCCUUCGGGUUGUAAACCUCUUUUAGCAGGGAAGAAGCGAAAGUGACGGUACCUGCAGAAAAAGCGCCGGCUAACUACGU
rnacentral:rRNA from 1 species